AGAGUUUGAUCCUGGCUCAGAUUGAACGCUGGCGGCAUGCUUUACACAUGCAAGUCGAACGGUAACAGGUCUUCGGAUGCUGACGAGUGGCGAACGGGUGAGUAAUACAUCGGAACGUGCCUAGUAGUGGGGGAUAACUACUCGAAAGAGUAGCUAAUACCGCAUGAGAUCUAAGGAUGAAAGCAGGGGACCUUCGGGCCUUGUGCUACUAGAGCGGCCGAUGGCAGAUUAGGUAGUUGGUGGGAUAAAAGCUUACCAAGCCGACGAUCUGUAGCUGGUCUGAGAGGACGACCAGCCACACUGGGACUGAGACACGGCCCAGACUCCUACGGGAGGCAGCAGUGGGGAAUUUUGAACAAUGGGCGCAAGCCUGAUCCAGCAAUGCCGCGUGCAGGAUGAAGGCCUUCGGGUUGUAAACUGCUUUUGUACGGAACGAAAAGCUCCUGGCUAAUAUCCGGGGGUCAUGACGGUACCGUAAGAAUAAGCACCGGCUAACUACGUGCCAGCAGCCGCGGUAAUA
rnacentral:rRNA from 1 species